AUCCAGACUCCUACGGGAGGCAGCAGUGAGGAAUAUUGGUCAAUGGGCUUACGCCUGAACCAGCCAAGUCGCGUGAGGGAAGACUGCCCUAUGGGUUGUAAACCUCUUUUGUCAGGGAGCAACGCCGGCUACGUGUAGCCGGACUGAGAGUACCUGAAGAAAAAGCAUCGGCUAACUCCGUGCCAGCAGCCGCGGUAAUACGGAGGAUGCGAGCGUUAUCCGGAUUUAUUGGGUUUAAAGGGUGCGUAGGCGGGCUUUUAAGUCAGCGGUAAAAAUUCGGGGCUCAACCCCGUCCGGCCGUUGAAACUGACACCCUUGAGUGAGUGAGAAGUAAGCGGAAUGCGUGGUGUAGCGGUGAAAUGCAUAGAUAUCACGCAGAACGCCGAUUGCGAAGGCAGCUUACCGGCGCCCAACUGACGCUGAAGCACGAAAGCGUGGGUAUCGAACAGGAUUAGAUACCCUGGUA
rnacentral:rRNA from 1 species